AAGAAGAGCUUCUAAUACUUACUGAGCACUUACGUAAUAGUCACUGUUUUACUGUUUUGUGCAUAUUUACUUAUUUAAUCUUCACAUCAACUCGAGUGGAGUACAAUUAGUUCUCAGUAUUACAUACGUGCAAAUGGAGUCACAGAAGGUCAAGACAUUGAAAGCAGGCAGCUGACUACAAACCAGGAAGAGAGGGCUCAUCGGGAACCAAAUUGCUGGCAACUUGAUCUUGGAUUUCCCAGCCUCCAGAACUGGGAGGAAAGCCCAGGAUGUAUUAAUUGAUGCCCUUCCACAUGAAAAUAAACGGAAGAGGAAAGAAAGUUUACUAUCAACACUAUCAACAGCAAAACUUGGAAGAUGUCUGAGCUCUCUCACAUGCUAAGCAUCAACGGAUUAGUACAAUCACAUAGAUUCAUUUAGAAAUUUUCAAAGUGACAAUGAUUUUGGAGUAAUGCUUCAUUAACAUACACGUAGAAAAAUCUUCCUACCUGAGAGACACAUUUGCUGGGCCAAGGGGAAAUGGGAAUUUUUGGUCAAAGAGUGAGACUUUGGAGGUACAUGAUUGAUAUAGAGAUUCAUUCAUGUUGGUACAUGUGGCAGCAGCUUGUUCUUCUCCAUUGCUGAGUAAUAUUCCAUCGUAUGAAUAUGGCACAGUUCAAUUAUCCAUUCAUAUUUUGGAAGAUAUUUGGAUUGUUUCCAGUUUGGGCUAUUAUGACUAAAGCUGCUGAAGAUUAGCCCUGAGCUAACUACUGCCCGUCCUCCUCUCUUUGCUGGGGAAGCCUGGCCCUGAGCUAACAUCGUCCCCAUCUUCCUCUACUUUAUAUGUGGGACGCCUACCAUAGCAUGUCGUGCCAAGCCGUGCCAUGUCCACACCCGGGAUCCGAACCGGCGAACCCCAGGUCGCCAAGAAGCGGAACGUGCGAACUUAACCGCUGCUCAACCGGGCCGGCCCUGAGUUUCUACUUUCUGAUAGUGUACCAGACACUAUCUGCUGAAUAUUGCACAAGCUACUUUUCUCAAAAUUCCUCUGGCAAGGACUUCCAGUGCUCUUUUGAAUGAAAGUGG
rnacentral:lncRNA from 1 species